GGUUAAGCGACUAAGCGUACACGGUGGAUGCCCUGGCAGUCAGAGGCGAUGAAGGGCGUGCUAAUCUGCGAUAAGCGCCGGUAAGGUGAUAUGAACCGUUAUAACCGGCGAUACCCGAAUGGGGAAACCCAGUGUGAUUCGUCACACUAUCAUUAACUGAAUCCAUAGGUUAAUGAGGCGAACCGGGGGAACUGAAACAUCUAAGUACCCCGAGGAAAAGAAAUCAACCGAGAUUCCCCCAGUAGCGGCGAGCGAACGGGGAGGAGCCCAGAGCCUGAAUCAGCAUGUGUGUUAGUGGAAGCGUCUGGAAAGGCGCGCGAUACAGGGUGACAGCCCCGUACACAAAAGCGCAUGUGCUGUGAGCUCGAUGAGUAGGGCGGGACACGUGGUAUCCUGUCUGAAUAUGGGGGGACCAUCCUCCAAGGCUAAAUACUCCUGACUGACCGAUAGUGAACCAGUACCGUGAGGGAAAGGCGAAAAGAACCCCGGCGAGGGGAGUGAAAAAGAACCUGAAACCGUGUACGUACAAGCAGUGGGAGCACCCUUUGGGUGUGACUGCGUACCUUUUGUAUAAUGGGUCAGCGACUUAUAUUCUGUAGCAAGGUUAACCGAAUAGGGGAGCCGGAGGGAAACCGAGUCUUAAUUGGGCGUUAAGUUGCAGGGUAUAGACCCGAAACCCGGUGAUCUAGCCAUGGGCAGGUUGAAGGUUGGGUAACACUAACUGGAGGACCGAACCGACUAAUGUUGAAAAAUUAGCGGAUGACCUGUGGCUGGGGGUGAAAGGCCAAUCAAACCGGGAGAUAGCUGGUUCUCCCCGAAAGCUAUUUAGGUAGCGCCUCGUGAAUUCAUCUCCGGGGGUAGAGCACUGUUUCGGCUAGGGGGCCAUCCCGGCUUACCAACCCGAUGCAAACUGCGAAUACCGGAGAAUGUUAUCACGGGAGACACACGGCGGGUGCUAACGUCCGUCGUGAAGAGGGAAACAACCCAGACCGCCAGCUAAGGUCCCAAAGUCAUGGUUAAGUGGGAAACGAUGUGGGAAGGCCCAGACAGCCAGGAUGUUGGCUUAGAAGCAGCCAUCAUUUAAAGAAAGCGUAAUAGCUCACUGGUCGAGUCGGCCUGCGCGGAAGAUGUAACGGGGCUAAACCAUGCACCGAAGCUGCGGCAGCGACACUGUGUGUUGUUGGGUAGGGGAGCGUUCUGUAAGCCUGUGAAGGUGUGUCGUGAGGCAUGCUGGAGGUAUCAGAAGUGCGAAUGCUGACAUAAGUAACGAUAAAGCGGGUGAAAAGCCCGCUCGCCGGAAGACCAAGGGUUCCUGUCCAACGUUAAUCGGGGCAGGGUGAGUCGACCCCUAAGGCGAGGCCGAAAGGCGUAGUCGAUGGGAAACGGGUUAAUAUUCCCGUACUUGGUGUUACUGCGAAGGGGGGACGGAGAAGGCUAUGUUGGCCGGGCGACGGUUGUCCCGGUUUAAGCGUGUAGGUGUGUGUUCCAGGUAAAUCCGGUUCACUUUAACACUGAGGCGUGACGACGAGGCACUACGGUGCUGAAGCAACAAAUGCCCUGCUUCCAGGAAAAGCCUCUAAGCAUCAGGUAACAUCAAAUCGUACCCCAAACCGACACAGGUGGUCAGGUAGAGAAUACCAAGGCGCUUGAGAGAACUCGGGUGAAGGAACUAGGCAAAAUGGUGCCGUAACUUCGGGAGAAGGCACGCUGACACGUAGGUGAAGUGAUUUACUCAUGGAGCUGAAGUCAGUCGAAGAUACCAGCUGGCUGCAACUGUUUAUUAAAAACACAGCACUGUGCAAACACGAAAGUGGACGUAUACGGUGUGACGCCUGCCCGGUGCCGGAAGGUUAAUUGAUGGGGUCAGCGCAAGCGAAGCUCCUGAUCGAAGCCCCGGUAAACGGCGGCCGUAACUAUAACGGUCCUAAGGUAGCGAAAUUCCUUGUCGGGUAAGUUCCGACCUGCACGAAUGGCGUAAUGAUGGCCAGGCUGUCUCCACCCGAGACUCAGUGAAAUUGAACUCGCUGUGAAGAUGCAGUGUACCCGCGGCAAGACGGAAAGACCCCGUGAACCUUUACUAUAGCUUGACACUGAACAUUGAGCCUUGAUGUGUAGGAUAGGUGGGAGGCUUUGAAGUGUGGACGCCAGUCUGCAUGGAGCCGACCUUGAAAUACCACCCUUUAAUGUUUGAUGUUCUAACGUGGACCCGUUACCCGGGUUGCGGACAGUGUCUGGUGGGUAGUUUGACUGGGGCGGUCUCCUCCUAAAGAGUAACGGAGGAGCACGAAGGUUGGCUAAUCCUGGUCGGACAUCAGGAGGUUAGUGCAAUGGCAUAAGCCAGCUUGACUGCGAGCGUGACGGCGCGAGCAGGUGCGAAAGCAGGUCAUAGUGAUCCGGUGGUUCUGAAUGGAAGGGCCAUCGCUCAACGGAUAAAAGGUACUCCGGGGAUAACAGGCUGAUACCGCCCAAGAGUUCAUAUCGACGGCGGUGUUUGGCACCUCGAUGUCGGCUCAUCACAUCCUGGGGCUGAAGUAGGUCCCAAGGGUAUGGCUGUUCGCCAUUUAAAGUGGUACGCGAGCUGGGUUUAGAACGUCGUGAGACAGUUCGGUCCCUAUCUGCCGUGGGCGCUGGAGAACUGAGGGGGGCUGCUCCUAGUACGAGAGGACCGGAGUGGACGCAUCACUGGUGUUCGGGUUGUCAUGCCAAUGGCACUGCCCGGUAGCUAAAUGCGGAAGAGAUAAGUGCUGAAAGCAUCUAAGCACGAAACUUGCCCCGAGAUGAGUUCUCCCUGAGACUUAGAGUCUCCUGAAGGAACGUUGAAGACGACGACGUUGAUAGGCCGGGUGUGUAAGCGCAGCGAUGCGUUGAGCUAACCGGUACUAAUGAACCGUGAGGCUUAACCUU
rnacentral:rRNA from 2 species